GCCGUCCGGUCGGGAAGCAGGGUCCAUUUCAGAUCAUCAUCUGGGUACAUAGACUGUACAACUCGUUCUCUUCUCUCUGGAGAUCAUCAGACAGGUCAAGUGCUUUGACAGGAACAUCAGCUUAUAUAUACAGGAGGCGGAGCCAAAAGGGUUCAACUCUCCGAUGGGAGAGUUUGGCGGCGACAUGUUAAUCACCUGAGAAGGAGGAUCGCUGAUGCGACUACCCAGCGGCCUAGCCGGGACCACCUGACUCCACCUAGUAGAGG